rnacentral:rRNA from 1 species
ACAUGCAGUCGAGCGAAUCUGAUGCGGAGCUUGCUCCCUGAGAUUAGCGGCGGACGGGUGAGUAACACGUGGGCAACCUGCCUAUAAGACUGGGAUAACUUCGGGAAACCGGAGCUAAUACCGGAUACGUUCUUUUCUCGCAUGAGAGAAGAUGGAAAGACGGUUUACGCUGUCACUUAUAGAUGGGCCCGCGGCGCAUUAGCUAGUUGGUGAGGUAAUGGCUCACCAAGGCGACGAUGCGUAGCCGACCUGAGAGGGUGAUCGGCCACACUGGGACUGAGACACGGCCCAGACUCCUACGGGAGGCAGCAGUAGGGAAUCUUCCGCAAUGGACGAAAGUCUGACGGAGCAACGCCGCGUGAACGAAGAAGGCCUUCGGGUCGUAAAGUUCUGUUGUUAGGGAAGAACAAGUACCAGAGUAACUGCUGGUACCUUGACGGUACCUAACCAGAAAGCCACGGCUAACUACGUGCCAGCAGCCGCGGUAAUACGUAGGUGGCAAGCGUUGUCCGGAAUUAUUGGGCGUAAAGCGCGCGCAGGUGGUUCCUUAAGUCUGAUGUGAAAGCCCACGGCUCAACCGUGGAGGGUCAUUGGAAACUGGGGAACUUGAGUGCAGAAGAGGAAAGUGGAAUUCCAAGUGUAGCGGUGAAAUGCGUAGAGAUUUGGAGGAACACCAGUGGCGAA